UUGGCGAGCGCCUGUAGCUGCCACGUAACGGCCGCAUGGCGGCCGCCGAGGGACAAGAAUACUCCGCGCGUCUCGAGCCUGGACGGUGGCUCAGAAGGACCAGAAACUAUCGUUUCCGUUACUAGUUCCAUUCAUGUACCACCUAAACUUUUAUGGGCCAUACCAGGAAGCGGUAGUAUCAAGAAACCUCCUCUGCCUCGUGCAAGACGCUCUUAGGAUUAUCCAUAAAGACAGCGGAAGAUUUGGAGGCAGCAAUAGUAGUUUUUUAAAUGUUACUUUAUGAAGAACAAUAUUGAUAUAAAAAUGAAAAUUCAAGACAAGUUUAACCAUAAUGUCACCACCUAAUCAAAUAAGCCGUCCUGGGACAUUCUAGGACCUUCAUCUCAUAUCCAUCCUGGCCCUCUCUGUUCACCUCUGUAUCACAAGGAAAUCUGUUUCCCAGGCUCCCUUUCACUCUGCUUCCUGGGGCUUCUGUUUGGAGCAAUGAAAAUAUUCUGGGAAUUCCCUGGCAGUCCAGUGAUGAGGACUCAGCGCUUUCUCUGCCCGAGCCCAGAUUAGAUUUCUGGUUGGAGAACUUAAGAUACUGUAAGCCAUGAUGUACAGCCAAAAAAAAAAAAAAUGAGGCUUGGGACUAGAUAGUAGUGAUGGGUGCAGAUAUCUGUGAACAACUUAAGAUACUGUAAGCCAUGAUGUACAGCCAAAAAAAAAAAA